GCUUACCAUGCAAGUCGAACGAUGAAGCCCUUCGGGGUGGAUUAGUGGCGAACGGGUGAGUAACACGUGGGCAAUCUGCCCUGCACUCUGGGACAAGCCCUGGAAACGGGGUCUAAUACCGGAUAUGACCGUCCAUCGCAUGGUGGAUGGUGUAAAGCUCCGGCGGUGCAGGAUGAGCCCGCGGCCUAUCAGCUAGUUGGUGAGGUAGUGGCUCACCAAGGCGACGACGGGUAGCCGGCCUGAGAGGGCGACCGGCCACACUGGGACUGAGACACGGCCCAGACUCCUACGGGAGGCAGCAGUGGGGAAUAUUGCACAAUGGGCGAAAGCCUGAUGCAGCGACGCCGCGUGAGGGAUGACGGCCUUCGGGUUGUAAACCUCUUUCAGCAGGGAAGAAGCGAAAGUGACGGUACCUGCAGAAGAAGCGCCGGCUAACUACGUGCCAGCAGCCGCGGUAAUACGUAGGGCGCAAGCGUUGUCCGGAAUUAUUGGGCGUAAAGAGCUCGUAGGCGGCUUGUCACGUCGGUUGUGAAAGCCCGGGGCUUAACCCCGGGUCUGCAGUCGAUACGGGCAGGCUAGAGUUCGGUAGGGGAGAUCGGAAUUCCUGGUGUAGCGGUGAAAUGCGCAGAUAUCAGGAGGAACACCGGUGGCGAAGGCGGAUCUCUGGGCCGAUACUGACGCUGAGGAGCGAAAGCGUGGGGAGCGAACAGGAUUAGAUACCCUGGUAGUCCACGCCGUAAACGGUGGGCACUAGGUGUGGGCAACAUUCCACGUUGUCCGUGCCGCAGCU
rnacentral:rRNA from 1 species